rnacentral:rRNA from 1 species
GUGGCGCACGGGUGAGUAACGCGUGGGAACCUGCCCUGUGGUACGGAAUAACUCCGGGAAACUGGAGCUACUACCGUAUGCGUCCCCUGGGACAAAGAUUUAUCGCCACGGGAUGGGCCCGCGUAGGAUUAGCUUGUUGGCGGGGUAACGGCCCACCAAGGCUUCGAUCCUUAGCUGGUCUGAGAGGAUGAUCAGCCACACUGGGACUGAGACACGGCCAGACUCCUACGGGAGGCAGCAGUGGGGAAUAUAGGACAAUGGGCGCAAGCCUGAUCCAGCAAUGCCGCGUGAGUGAUGAAGGCCUUCGGGUUGUAAAGCUCUUUCGCACGCGACGAUGAUGACGGUAGCGUGAGAAGAAGCCCCGGCUAACUUCGUGCCAGCCGCCGCGG